GACGAACGCUGGCGGCGUGCCUAAUACAUGCAAGUAGAACGCUGAAGGAGGAGCUUGCUCUUCUGGAUGAGUUGCGAACGGGUGAGUAACGCGUAGGUAACCUGCCUGGUAGCGGGGGAUAACUAUUGGAAACGAUAGCUAAUACCGCAUAACAGUAGAUGUUGCAUGACAUUUACUUAAAAGGUGCACUUGCAUCACUACCAGAUGGACCUGCGUUGUAUUAGCUAGUUGGUGGGGUAACGGCUCACCAAGGCGACGAUACAUAGCCGACCUGAGAGGGUGAUCGGCCACACUGGGACUGAGACACGGCCCAGACUCCUACGGGAGGCAGCAGUAGGGAAUCUUCGGCAAUAGACGGAAGUCUGACCGAGCAACGCCGCGUGAGUGAAGAAGGUUUUCGGAUCGGAAAGCUCUGUUGUAAGAGAAGAACGAGUGUGAGAGUGGAAAGUUCACACUGUGACGGUAUCUUACCAGAAAGGGACGGCUAACUACGUG
rnacentral:rRNA from 1 species